UGCCAGCAGCCGCGGUAAUACGGAGGGUGCGAGCGUUAAUCGGAAUUACUGGGCGUAAAGGGCGCGUAGGUGGCUAGAUUAGUCGGGUGUGAAAGCCCCGGGCUUAACUCGGGAAUUGCAUUCGAUACUGCCUAGCUAGAGUGCAGUAGAGGGAAGCGGAAUUCCGGGUGUAGCGGUGAAAUGCGUAGAUAUCCGGAGGAACACCAGUGGCGAAGGCGGCUUCCUGGACUGACACUGACACUGAGGCGCGAAAGCGUGGGGAGCAAACAGGAUUAGAUA
rnacentral:rRNA from 1 species